rnacentral:rRNA from 1 species
UACGGAGGAUCCAAGCGUUAUCCGGAUUUAUUGGGUUUAAAGGGUGCGUAGGCGGAAUUGUAAGUCAGUGGUGAAAGCCCUUCGCUUAACGAAGGAACUGCCAUUGAUACUGCAAAUCUUGAGUACAUUUGAUGUGGGCGGAAUGUGUCAUGUAGCGGUGAAAUGCUUAGAUAUGACACAGAACACCGAUUGCGAAGGCAGCUCACAAAACUGUAACUGACGCUGGAGGCACGAAA